rnacentral:lncRNA from 1 species
AUGCUAUUUGCCUACCAACCUUUAUUUAUGUGCCAUUCAUAUCAUCGUUUUGCCCGCCCUACCUUUUGCUUUUCCUCUAGUUUGGAGCCUUUUUACCCGUUUAUUUUUUCGUAGCGCUUUUUCGUGAUACCUGAAUGAUCAUUAGUGAUAUCUCGAAGAACUGUGUCCUCUUUUCUCACCGUCUACUGACUGAAUCGUGCUCAUUUGAGUGUUUUUGACAACAGCAAACAAUGAUAGUUUCCUGACCGGGACUCAGUCAUGUCAACACGAGAAUUGUCAUUUUUUUACAAUUCACUCGUUUUAAUCGCCGUAUUUUCAUUCGACCGUACCUCGAGUUUUGAAUUUUUAAAUGUGUCCUCUUCGGUAGCUGUGACCCUCUGUGAAAAUGUAACUUUAGAAUGUAGAGGAAAGCCCCCUACGGCUAACAUCUGGUGGAUUGCAAAUGGUGAUAACGUUACGGCUGAUGGGAGAAUAUCACAAUCUUUGAAUAAGAGUGAAGAUGAGACAUUUACUUCUGCUACUCUAUUCAUAAAGUGUGCAAGCUUUGAAGAUGCCGGAAAUUAUAGUUGUAAUGCAGUUGAUGUUGAUAGUGAAGAAGAAUCCUCUCGAACAUUAGUUUUGGAUGUUGGCAUAAAAAAUGAAGUCAAAGCUUCCAAAGGUCCUCGUGUCAAAGCUGGAGACAAUGCUACCUUAUCUUGUACCUUCACUGGCUCAAACUUGCGUGACUUCAAGUGGUCAAAAAUUAACGACACAUCUGUAGUUGACCAUCCUGAGUAA